rnacentral:lncRNA from 1 species
CUGACUUGACAUGUUGCUUAGCCACACCCGAGUCACAUAGUCCCCCUGGGUUUUAAUUUCUUUUUCCGGUGUUAGUAAUACUUGUUCCCUUCCUGCCCCACUGGCCUGUUGGGAGGCAUAAGUAGACUCAUAGCAUGCUAGGUCCUCCCUUUUCAUUAUCUUCCUAGGAAAACAGUUACCCAUAGGAGCCCAGAACCUUGCCUAGAGUCACCCUGCCAGCAAGUGGCAGAGCUGCGAUUUGAAUCUGGGGCUUAUGCAUCUGAUUCUGCUGAGGAUGUCAAAUUACCAGGCUUUGGUCUAAGCAGAAGUCAGGGGACAGCAGUGAAAAGAGCACGGUUCCACACCUUGAUGCCGUCUCUCACUUUCCCUCUGUGUGACCUUGGAUAGAAAGUUUCGCUUUGGAGUGCAGUGAUGCAGUCACGGCUGACUGCAGCCAUAACCUCAUGGGCUCAAGUGAUCCUCCCACCUCAGCCUCCCAAGUAGCUGGGACCACAGGUAUGCACCACCAUUCCCAGCUAAUUUCUUCUUAUUUUUUGUAGACACAGGGUAUCCCUAUGUUACCUAGG